CAUAAAUGCAGUGGAUGGAUCUACUUCAACUCCAAGGGAGAUCUAUAUUCAGAUCACUUCUGAGUAGAUGUAUUUCUGUGUAUGGUUUGCUUCUCUACUGGGACUGCCAAAAUUCUCAUGGCAACCUGUCGUCUAGACACAAAAACCCCUCUCCAAUCUUUUUGGGGAAGGCAAAAAGCUGGCACCUUCUUCUGUCUUCUCACCUCCUUCUGGUAUCUGACACACCGAUGUGCUGUAUUUCAGCUUGUCCAAGCAACCAGAACACAGGGCCCCUUUGGAGGGACCACAGUAACAUUCCCUUGGCCUAGUAAGCUGAUCCUUCUCUUUUCCCAAGCUGCAAAACCUCUUCUUCCUCCUCUAAUACACACAGGAUGCAGUUGAUGCCCUGUCCCUGCAGCGAAUGUACAGAAGUGGACAGUGUGCAGGAAUUCCUUCUGAGGAGUGCAUUGAGCUACCUGUUCAUUAGGACCUGCCAGGUUGCCUUGCACAACAGCCUCUGCUAGUUUAGGAGUGAGACAGGAGGCGUGGGAAAGGAGCCUACAGACGUCUCAGGGAUGCACUAAACUGUGGGGCAACCAAGUGUUUGUUUAUUCAAAUCAUUGACUCACUUCCAGCUUUCCUAAUAACUGGAAUACAUUUUAAUGGUAACCUAUAUUAUAAGUAAUGAGCCAUUGUGUGGGCUCUCAUAGGUUUUCCAUAUAGGCAGUUCCUGAGAAUAAUUUCCAUUUGUUCAAUCUUUUCAAAUAUUGAAAUAUAGGAAGCUGAGAUGAAAAGAAUAUAUUGAAUGACUCCUAAAAUGUCAUUAAAUGGACUUUAGGAACAUCCCUUAAAAAAUACCAGAUUUAAGAGAAAAGCCCUUUCACCUUUUGUCAAAAUACCCUGCACAUUUCUGGAUGUCCUGACAAAAUCCCUGUGCUUGUUUCUAUACCUUCAAUUGGUAAUUGUUUGUUAACCAGACAUGUCUCUUGAGAGUUCUGUUAAAACAAGCCUAUCUACGGUGAAUACUGAAAAGCCACGAUCAAUAAACUAGUAUAUAAUGAUUACAAGUAAUGUGUCUCACUCAGCACGUAGGGCAAAAAAGAGAAAAAAAGCCUCCUGUCUAAUUAUAUUUGAAGUAGACUUGUCUAAAAUUAAGGGAGCACUUGUCCCACAAGGACUACAGCCAAUUCCACUGAAUCAAUGGAACCUGGGCAGGGCUGACAACUUUCCACAUUGAAAUACCUCCUUCAAGCAUACUUCUGACAUUAAGCCAUUAGAAAAAGAUGACGGUUACUUAAAAAGAAAAAUGAAGACCAGAAACCACCUGAGAUCUGAUAACUCCUUGUUUUGAGUCUGAACUGUGCUGUUAGUGCAACUUAGGCCCUGAAUUUGGU